UACAGAGGUCUCAAGCGUUGUUCGGAAUUACUGGGCGUAAAGGGUGCGCAGGCCGCGCGGGCAGUCAAAUGUGUAAUUCAGAGGCUCAACCUCUGGACUGCGCUUGAUACUUCCGUGCUCGAACCUUGGAGAGGGAUCUGGAAUUCUCGGUGUAGCAGUGAAAUGCGUGGAUAUCGAGAAGAACACCUAGGGCGAAAGCAAGAUCCUGGACAAGUGUUGACGCUCAUGCACGAAGGCUAGGGGAGCGAAC
rnacentral:rRNA from 1 species